GACGAACGCUGGCGGCGUGCUUAACACAUGCAAGUCGAACGGGAACCUUUAUUUCGGUAAGGGUGAGAGUGGCAAACGGGUGAGUAACACGUAGGCAACCUGCCGACAGGAUGGGGACAACAUUCCGAAAGGAAUGCUAAUACCGAAUGGAGUCCGGAGAUGGCAUCAUCUCCAGAUAAAAGAUGGCCUCUGAAUAUGCUAUCGCCUGUCGAUGGGCCUGCGUCUGAUUAGCCAGUUGGCGGGGUAACGGCCCACCAAAGCGACGAUCAGUAGCCGGUCUGAGAGGAUGAACGGCCACAUUGGGACUGAGACACGGCCCAGACUCCUACGGGAGGCAGCAGUGGGGAAUCUUCCACAAUGGGCGAAAGCCUGAUGGAGCAACGCCGCGUGAGUGAAGAAGGUCUUCGGAUCGUAAAGCUCUGUUGCACGGGACGAAAACCGGGUUUGAGAA
rnacentral:rRNA from 1 species